GAUGAACGCUGGCGGCGUGCCUAACACAUGCAAGUCGAGCGGAGUACCCCAAGAAAAAUUUUCGAAUGGAUCUUGGACGUACUUAGCGGCGGACGGGUGAGUAACGCGUGGGCAACCUGCCCUGUACAGAGGAAUAACAUUGGGAAACCAGUGCUAAUACCUUAUAACACUUUUCGGUGGCAUCACUGAGAAGUCAAAGUUUUUCGGUACAGGAUGGGCCCGCGUCUGAUUAGUUAGUUGGUGGGGUAAUGGCCCACCAAGACGAUGAUCAGUAGCCGACCUGAGAGGGUGAUCGGCCACACUGGAACUGAGACACGGUCCAGACUCCUACGGGAGGCAGCAGUGGGGAAUAUUGCACAAUGGGGGAAACCCUGAUGCAGCAACGCCGCGUGAGCGAUGAAGGCCUUCGGGUCGUAAAGCUCUGUCCUAAGGGAAGAUAUAGACGGUACCUUAGGAGGAAGCCCCGGCUAACUACGUG
rnacentral:rRNA from 1 species